UAAAUACAUAUCACAGUUAAUCUUUUUUUAAUGGGGUAGAAGGUGUAGGACUACAAAUUGGGUGGACUACAAAUCCCAGGAGCUAAGAUAGUAUAAAAGGAAGUCAAACUUGGUGACUUGCUCUUUGUGUACCAUGUGCUAAGAAAAGCUGUUUGGUGUUUUUCAAGGCUGUCUAACAGCAGAUGAAAAGACCAAUUGAUUAAUGAACAGUAUAGCAGGCUAGAACUGAAUUGUAAAGUUAAGUGUCCUCAUGGGAGUUGUGUUGAGUGGUGCCUCUGAGAAUUAAACAGAUAUAUUUAAGAGUACAGAUGAUGCAUGAUUGCCAUUUACUUUACUGAACGCAUUGAUGGCUUAAUGGUUAUUUGUUUUCUGGUUUUUUUUAUUUAUCUUGGACCAACUAAUGACUGGGGUUUACUUUACCUUAUAUAUGUGGUGUACUUUGUUAAUGUGGGGGGGGGCAACUCGUUGUGGUUUGAGGGUAUGAUUUCCUUUUGCUGUGGAGUGCGAAUUGAACAGGUUUUGGUUUUACAGUACUUGUGAUUUGAGUGUGCACUUAUUUACAGAGUAACAACUACUAUUAUAUAGGUUUGGGAACCCUGUUGUCUGUAAUGGUUACAAGAGAGUUCUUUUUCUUUCCUUGUUUUUGUUUGU